AUCUAAAUAGUUUAUAUUUAAAAUAUUGAUUUGUGGUGUCAAUGAUAUGAUUUAGUCAUUUUAGAUC
rnacentral:tRNA from 1 species